rnacentral:misc_RNA from 1 species
GAUGAAGAACGUAGCGAAAUGCGAUAAGUAAUGUGAAUUGCAGAAUUCAGUGAAUCAUCGAAUCUUUGAACGCACAUUGCGCCCCUUGGUAUUCCGAGGGGCAUGCCUGUUCGAGCGUCAUUACACCACUCAAGCUAUGCUUGGUAUUGGGCGUCGUCCUUAGUUGGGCGCGCCUUAAAGACCUCGGCGAGGCCACUCCGGUUUUAGGCGUAGUAGAAUUUAUUCGAACGUCUGUCAAAGGAGAGGAACUCUGCCGACUGAAACCUUUAUUUUUCUAGGUUGACCUCGGAUCAGGUAGGGAUACCCGCUGAACUUAAGCAUAUCAAUAAGCGGAGGA